rnacentral:rRNA from 1 species
UACGUAGGUGGCAAGCGUUGUCCGGAUUUAUUGGGCGUAAAGAGCGCGCAGGCGGUUCGUUAAGUGCGAGGUGAAAUCUCCCCGGCUCAACUGGGAGGGGUCUUCGCAUACUGGCGGGCUUGAGGAGAGCAGAGGUGAGCGGAAUUCUCGGUGUAGUGGUGAAAUGCGUAGGAUAUCGAGAGGAACACCGGUGGCGAAGGCGGCUCACUGGGGCUCCACCUGACGCUGAGGCGCGAAAAGCGUGGGGAGCGAACCGG